rnacentral:misc_RNA from 1 species
ACUGAUUUCUACUCUCUGUAUCUUCUUCUUGUUAAAUAUAAGUCUUACCCCAGUUCUUGGUGAAGUGAUCUUUGAAGAUGGCUACUCAGUCAGCACAGUGAUUGAUGGCAACAAGAUCAAAAUUAACCCUUACUCCAUCAUCCCUGUAUCUGGUGAUACUCAUUUCAUCAUUCUUGAUUCUUCUGCCAGUACUUUUUACACAUUAUCAUACAACAAAGACUCAG